GUAGGGAAUCUUCCACAAUGGACGCAAGUCUGAUGGAGCAACGCCGCGUGAGUGAAGAAGGGUUUCGGCUCGUAAAGCUCUGUUGGUAGUGAAGAAAGAUAGAGGUAGUAACUGGCCUUUAUUUGACGGUAAUUACUUAGAAAGUCACGGCUAACUACGUGCCAGCAGCCGCGGUAAUACGUAGGUGGCAAGCGUUGUCCGGAUUUAUUGGGCGUAAAGCGAGUGCAGGCGGUUCAAUAAGUCUGAUGUGAAAGCCUUCGGCUCAACCGGAGAAUUGCAUCAGAAACUGUUGAACUUGAGUGCAGAAGAGGAGAGUGGAACUCCAUGUGUAGCGGUGGAAUGCGUAGAUAUAUGGAAGAACACCAGUGGCGAAGGCGGCUCUCUGGUCUGCAACUGACGCUGAGGCUCGAAAGCAUGGGUAGCGAACAGGAUUAGAUACCCUGGUAGUCCAUGCCGUAAACGAUGAGUGCUAAGUGUUGGGAGGUUUCCGCCUCUCAGUGCUGCAGCUAACGCAUUAAGCACUCCGCCUGGGGAGUACGACCGCAAGGUUG
rnacentral:rRNA from 1 species